CGUAAAACUCCUGCGCUCCCACCCAGUCGGGGAUCUCGUCUUCUUUGGUCAUGUUUGAGGCGCCUUAUCCGUGGCCAAAAAUGCUGCGGGGAUGUCCACAAAACAACGAAGAGGCACCUGCUUCUGCACAGGAAGCCUUCCGGAACAUUCUUUACCCAUCCAGACGCUCGCUGUGCCGCUCCGAUGACGCCCACUUCCUGUGAGACUCUGCAUCCAGGUGAAGAACAGAACCACCAAAUAACCAGCGAUGGUGUACACAGCUAAUCACCUAACAGAGCCAGGGAUGAUCGGUGGAAACAAAAAACCGGAAACAGAUGUGGGCCUUCUGGAACAGGAUUUCCACCCUAGGAGACAGAGAGCUGUUUGGCAGCCCGACUGGGACGGCCACAGCCCAGCAGCAGUGUGACACAGGACACAUUGUGAUGCAACAGAGAGACAGACGGACUCAUUAUGACAUCACAGAGCCACCGGCCUGAUCAGUCGCCGUGACAA